rnacentral:lncRNA from 1 species
GCCCACUGAAAAGAAAAAAUAAGUCAGAUAAAAAAAAGAGAAGGAAUGUUGGAAAAUUACCCCAAGUAUCAUUGGGUAAAAUGAAGAAACAUCUCAGACACCGUCCAAUUCUUCCUGUUCUCUCUAUCAGUCGGAAGAAGAGCAGCUUCGAUGAGUCGUCUAGCCAAUAAUGGAUUGGCCAGAGCUGACUCACUAGUGGAGAUUCAGAUGUUGAA